rfam:Asian citrus Psyllid, Diaphorina citri - Florida Strain, whole genome shotgun sequence.
UGUCUCUAUUCCAUAAGAUAUGUUUGAUAUUCUUGGUUGUUUACUAUUUUACCAUUCAACCGAGAAUCAAACAUAUAUCAUGGAGUGAGACC